CUGACGCUGAGGCGCGAAAGCGUGGGGAGCGAACAGGAUUAGAUACCCUGGUAGUCCACGCUGUAAACGAUGUGCACUAGGUGUUGGGGCGUUUGAAGCCUCGGUGCCGUAGCUAACGUGAUAAGUGCACCGCCUGGGGAGUAUGCUCGCAAGGGUGAAACUCAAAGGAAUUGACGGGGGCCCGCACAAGCGGUGGAGUAUGUGGUUUAAUUCGAUGAUACGCGAGGAACCUUACCAGGGUUUGACAUGUGCACGGCGGUCUGUGAGAACAGGCUUUCCCGCAAGGGACGUGCACACAGGUGCUGCAUGGUUGUCGUCAGCUCGUGUCGUGAGAUGUUGGGUUAAGUCCCGCAACGAGCGCAACCCCUACUGUCUGUUGCCAGCAGGUUAAGCUGGGCACUCGGACGGAACUGCCGGUGACAAACCGGAGGAAGGCGGGGAUGACGUCAAAUCAUCAUGGCCCUUAUGUCCUGGGCUACACACGUACUACAAUGGCCGGUACAGCGCGCUUGCGAAACGGUGACGUGGAGCGAAUCGCUAAAAGCCGGUCUCAGUUCGGAUUGGAGUCUGAAACUCGACUCCAGGAAGGUGGAAUCGCUAGUAAUCGCGCAUCAGCAUGGCGCGGUGAAUACGUUCCCGGGCCUUGUACACACCGCCCGUCACACCACCCGAGUUGGGGGUACCCGAAGUCGCUUGCCUGACCCGUAAGGGGGGGCGGUGCCGAAGGUACGCCUGGUAAGGGGGGUGAAGUCGUAACAAGGUAACCGUA
rnacentral:rRNA from 1 species